GUGAAUCAUCGAAUUUUUGAACGCAAAUUGCACUCUCUUCGGAGAGUAUGCCUGUUUGAGGGUCAGCCUAAAAAAAAUCGACGUCGUCGCUGUUUCGCGGUGGCGUUCGUCGGAGAUUGCGUUAUCUUAAAUCUUUGGUUUAAGCGAUAUAAGAUCUUCUUUACGAUUCUAUGGACGUUUACAAGAUUUAUUUCUUUACACGCUUAAGGUAUCGAUUUUAUUAGGUGUGGUCGUCAUAUCGGAUCAUGUCCAUAAUUUUUCGUGAACUGACGUCAGACAGGUCAGAGUACCCG
rnacentral:misc_RNA from 1 species